AGGGAUAGACUGUUGCAAUUUUCAGUCUUGAACGAGGAAUUCCUAGUAAAUGCAAGUCAUCAGCUUGCAUUGAUUACGUCCCUGCCCUUUGUACACACCGCCCGUCGCACCUACCGAUUGAAUGGCUCGGUGAAAAAUUGGGACUGUGAGUCCGUUCGCUUUAUUGCAAAUGGAUUGAUGGGAACUUUUUUGAACCUCGGCAUUUAGAGGAAGGUGAAGUCGUAACAAGGUUUCCGUAGGUGAACCUGCGGAAGGAUCAUUA
rnacentral:rRNA from 1 species